rnacentral:lncRNA from 1 species
AGACUCCGAACAAACAACCAAACACAGGAAACCGACUACCAAUCGAUGGGCUUACGUCAGACUCCAAACGACAAACAGGAAACCGACUGCCAAUCACUGGGCUUACGUCAGACUCCACACACACACCAAACACGGGAAACCGACUACCAAUCGCUAGACUUACAUCAGACUCCAACAAGCAAACAAGAAGGUUGAAAAAGAAAAAGGGCGCCCGGAGAGAUCU